rnacentral:rRNA from 1 species
GAACGAACGCUGGCAGCGUGGAUGAGGCAUGCAAGUCGAACGGGAAUUUUCAGUGUCGCAAGGCAAGAGGGGUGAGAGUGGCGGAAGGGUGAGGAACACGUGGGUAAUCUACCCUUAAGUCCGGCAUAACCUGCCGAAAGCGGAGCUAAUUCCGGAUGUGAUCGCGUUACGCAUGUAACGUUGUUUAAAGAUGGGGAUCCGCAAGGACCUGUCGCUUAAGGAUGAGCCCGCGUCCUAUCAGCUUGUUGGUGAGGUAACGGCUCACCAAGGCUUACGGGUAGCUGGUCUGAGAGGAUGGUCAGCCGCACUGGGACUGAGACACUGCCCAGACUCCUACGGGAGGCUGCAGUCGAGAAUCAUUUGCAAUGGGCGCAAGCCUGACAAUGCGACGCUGCGUGGAGGAUGACGGCCUUCGGGUUGUAAACUCCUGUCAUUUGGGAACAAUGCACAGGCGGUUAAUACUGUCUGGAAUCGAUAGUACCAGAAGAGGAAGUCACGGCUAACUCUGUGCCAGCAGCCGCGGUGAUACAGAGGUGGCGAAGCGUUGUUCGGAUUUAUUGGGCGUAAAGGAUGCGUAGGUGGUUAUCGUGUGUCAGAUGUGAAAGCUCACCGCUCAACGGUGAAACUGCAUUUGAAACUGCGAGACUUGAGUACAGGAGAGGAGAGUGGAAUUCUUGGUGUAGCGGUGAUAUGCGUAGAUAUCAAGAGGAACACCGGUGGCGAAAGCGGCUCUCUGGACUGAUACUGACACUGAGGCAUGAAAGCUGGGGGAGCAAACAGGAUUAGAUACCCUGGUAGUCCCAGCCAUAAACGGUGUACACUUGAUGUGGGAGGAUUUGACCCCUUCCGUGUCGGAGCUAACGUGUUAAGUGUACCGCCUGAGGAGUACGGCCGCAAGGUUAAAACUCAAAGAAAUUGACGGGGGCCCGCACAAGCGGAGGAGCAUGGUGGCUUAAUUCGAUGCAACGCGAAGAACCUUACCAGGACUUGACAUGCAACUGCACGUCCCGUGAAAGUGGGACUCCUUCGAGGGUGUUGCACAGGUGCUGCAUGGCCUGUCGUCAGUUCGUGCCGUGAGGUGUUGGGUUAAGUCCCGCAACGAACGCAACCCUUGUGUUUAGUUGCCACCGCCGGUGAUGAAUCGGCGAGCACUCUAAACAGACUGCCCAUAUCAAAUGGGAGGAAGGUGGGGAUGACGUCAAGUCAGUAUGGCCUUUAUGUCCUGGGCUGCACACGUGCUACAAUGGCCGGCACAAUGGGAAGCAAUACCGCGAGGUGGAGCCAAUCCUCAAAAACCGGUCUCAGUUCAGAUUGGAGUCUGCAACUCGACUCCAUGAAGUUGGAUUCGCUAGUAACGGCGCAUCAGCUACGGCGCCGUGAAUACGUUCCCGGGCCUUGUACACACCGCCCGUCACAUCAUGAAAGCCGUCUGCACCCGACGUCGCUGCUCCAACCCGCAAGGGAGGAAGGCGCCUAAGGUGUGGGUGGUGAUUGGGAUGAAGUCGUAACAAGGUA